rnacentral:rRNA from 1 species
AUUGAACGCUGGCGGCAGGCCUAACACAUGCAAGUCGAACGAGUGGCGGACGGGUGAGUAAUGUCUGGGAAACUGCCUGAUGGAGGGGGAUAACUACUGGAAACGGUAGCUAAUACCGCAUACCAUCGGAUGUGCCCCGAUGGGAUUAGCUAGUAGGUGGGGUAAAGGCUUACCUAGGCGACGAUCCCUAGCUGGUCUGAGAGGAUGCUCAGUGACACUGGAACUGAGACACGGUCCAGACUCCUACGGGAGGCAGCAGUGGGGAAUAGUGGACAAUGGGCGAAAGCCUGAUCCAGCCAUGCCGCGUGUGUGAAGAAGGUCUGCGGAGUGUAAAGCACUUUAAGUUGGGAGGCGUUACCAACAGAAUAAGCACCGGCUAACUUCGUGCCAGCAGCCGCGGUAAUUC